AUUGAACGCUGGCGGAAUGCUUUACACACGCAAGUCGAACGAUGAAGUCUAGCUUGCUAGACGGAUUAGUGGCGAACGGGUGAGUAAUAUAUCGGAACGUAUCCAUUAAUGGGGGAUAACUAGUCGAAAGAUUGGCUAAUACCGCAUACGUCCUACGGGAGAAACCUGGGGAUCGUAAGACCUGGCGUUAAUGGAGCGGCCGAUAUCUGAGUAGCUAGUUGGUGAGGUAAAGGCUCACCAAGGCGACGAUCAGUAGCUGGUCUGAGAGGACGACCAGCCACACUGGAACUGAGACACGGUCCAGACUCCUACGGGAGGCAGCAGUGGGGAAUUUUGGACAAUGGGCGAAAGCCUGAUCCAGCCAUUCCGCGUGAGUGAAGAAGGCCUUCGGGUUGUAAAGCUCUUUCGCAAGGGAAGAAAACUUAUCCUCUAACAUAGGGUGAGGUUGACGGUACCUUGAUAGGAAGCACCGGCUAACUACGUGCCAGCCGCCGCGGUAAAAC
rnacentral:rRNA from 1 species